rnacentral:tRNA from 1 species
CGGGUAGUAGCUCAGUGGUAGAGCUACCGCUUCGUACGCGGGAAGACCUGGACUCGAUUCCCGGCUGCUUCC